ACCUCAGGUGAUCCACCCGCCUCGGCCUCCCAAAAUGCAGGGAUUACAGACGUGAGUCACCACGCCCGGCCUCUAUGAUCACUUUCGUACCUUGAAACAACCAAUAGCAGAUACACUGUCUCUCACAGCCAGAGUUAGGAAAAUGAGUGGUAUCUUGGAUCUCCUCUUGGUAUGAAAGUCACAGAGAAUCACCACUCUAUCACACACUGUGUAAAGUUGUCAAAAGGUACAGCGGAUGUCCUGACAGAACUCAGCACACAGGUGAGGUUGUGACACUCAUAUGUAUGACCUGCCGACAGUAAAUAUUUCAUCCUUCCACAUAAACACAGCUCACAAUCGAGGUUCUGAAUGUCACACCCAGAGGCAGUCAAAUGUUGGAAAAUGGAAUCUCAUAUGUGAAUUCGGUCCACACGGGAGUUGGCAUCUUUCAGACCAAGAUUCGGCACACCUGUGAGUCUGUGACUCCACUAAGGGGACACAGUUUGCAGGAGGGAUUGAGGUUCUCAUACAUGGAUCCAGACCAUCAUUGAGAUUGCGACUCAUUUACUUAGACUCAACAUACAGGAAGUGUUAGAUCUCAUACCUGGAACUAGAAAAUGUGUGGAACUAUUAAUCUCAUGCUUUGACCUUCAUGCAGGCGUGAUUGUGACAUACACCUCUGCCCAGCACCUCAGUGAUUUGACUCUUCUGCCUGGGCCCAGCGUACAGAUGGGAUUGUGCCAUAUUGCUGGACCCAGCACUUAGGUGAUGUACCUUGUGACAUGUAUCUGCAUCCAUGACCUAGAAGAUGUGACAUUUAUUUUUUGCCUGCACCCUGCCCUGCACAGGAAUGAUUGUGACAUAUCCUUGAAACGAGACACCAGGACAGAAUUGUAUCCCUGGCUGAGCACCCAGGUGAGGUGACACUCCUGCUUGGCUUCCUUCCUCAGAGAAGACUGUGAGAUCCUUGGCUGAAAUCCAGGUGAUGUGACUCCCCUGCUAGCUCCCUUCCUAUAAGUACAGUUGAGACAUGCUGUGGUCAGCUUACAAGUGUGAUGAUGACUCUCAUGCCUCAAGUCAGCUGUUAGAAGAAAUACUGGCCAGGCACAGUGGGGACUAUAAUCCCAUCACUUUCGGAGGCUGAG